rnacentral:rRNA from 1 species
UGGGGAAUAUUGCGCAAUGGGCGAAAGCCUGACGCAGCAACACCGCGUGAGGGAUGACGGCCUUCGGGUUGUAAACCUCUUUCAGCUCCGACGAAGCGAAAGUGACGGUAGGAGCAGAAGAAGCACCGGCUAACUACGUGCCAGCAGCCGCGGUAAUACGUAGGGUGCAAGCGUUGUCCGGAAUUAUUGGGCGUAAAGAGCUCGUAGGCGGUCCGUUGCGUCUGCCGUGAAAACCCGGAGCUCAACUCCGGGCCUGCGGUGGAUACGGGCGGACUAGAGUCCGGUAGGGGAGACUGGAAUUCCUGGUGUAGCGGUGGAAUGCGCAGAUAUCAGGAGGAACACCGGUGGCGAAGGCGGGUCUCUGGGCCGGAACUGACGCUGAGGAGCGAAAGCGUGGGGAGCGAACAGGAUUAGAUACCCUGGUAGUCCACGCCGUAAACGGUGGGCGCUAGGUGUGGGAUCGUUUCCACGAUCUCCGUGCCGUAGCUAACGCAUUAAGCGCCCCGCCUGGGGAGUACGGCCGCAAGGCUAAAA